GACGAACGCUGGCGGCGUGCUUAACACAUGCAAGUCGAACGGAAGGGCCCUGCUUUUGUGGGGUGCUCGAGUGGCGAACGGGUGAGUAACACGUGAGUAACCUGCCCUUGACUUUGGGAUAACUUCAGGAAACUGGGGCUAAUACCGGAUAGGAGCUCCUGCUGCAUGGUGGGGGUUGGAAAGUUUCGGCGGUUGGGGAUGGACUCGCGGCUUAUCAGCUUGUUGGUGGGGUAGUGGCUUACCAAGGCUUUGACGGGUAGCCGGCCUGAGAGGGUGACCGGCCACAUUGGGACUGAGAUACGGCCCAGACUCCUACGGGAGGCAGCAGUGGGGAAUAUUGCACAAUGGGCGGAAGCCUGAUGCAGCAACGCCGCGUGCGGGAUGACGGUCUUCGGGUUGUAAACCGCUUUCGCCUGUGACGAAGCGUGAGUGACGGUAAUGGGUAAAGAAGCACCGGCUAACUACGUG
rnacentral:rRNA from 1 species